rnacentral:rRNA from 1 species
UACGUAGGGGGCAAGCGUUGUCCGGAAUCAUUGGGCGUAAAGAGCGUGUAGGCGGCUCGGUAAGUCCGCUCUGAAAGCCCGGGGCUCAACCCCGGGAGGCGGGCGGAUACUGUCGGGCUAGAGUCCGGAAGAGGUGAGUGGAAUUCCUGGUGUAGCGGUGAAAUGCGCAGAUAUCAGGAGGAACACCAAUGGCGAAGGCAGCUCGCUGGGACGGUACUGACGCUGAGACGCGAAAGCGUGGGGAGCGAACAGG